UGCCCCCCUGGCAGUGGGCAAAGAGAUAUCUUGGUGGUGUUGUUCUUAUAUCAGUUGGGCAGAGCAGAUGGCAGCCCUUUGUUCAUCCUAGCUUGAUGCCUAGCUUGGUGGCCAAAGCUGUUUUAUGCCUAGGACUCAUAA